rnacentral:sRNA from 1 species
GGCGCGGCGAUGAGAGAUCCGUGUGCUGAUGUGGAUGAUCUCUGUCUUCAUGUUGCCUGGUAGCCCUUUAAAGUCCCCCUGUUGGCCACUCGCAGUGGAAGCUUCUGGAGCUGAAGGGAAAGAAUCUCCUGAUUGACGACGAUGAUGAUUUCAGUACAAUCAGAGAUGACACUGGAAAAGAAAA